CUUGAGGAACAUUUUGAAGCAUUAUCUUCAGGGACUGCCUGGGGCUCCUGCCCUUAGCCUAUAAAUUCUUCCAAGCCAAACCCUGGAUGCCUCAGUUGCCUUGGUGGGUACAGCUCUGCUCUGAAUCCCUCCAGCCUCCUGAUCUGUCCAGCGCGAUGAAGACUCUCCUGAUCACAGGCCUCCUCCUGGCCCUGCUCUCUGCAGUGGCAUCUUUAAGAUGUGAAGUGUGUAAGAAGCCAGCGAAGCCAGGGAAGCUUUUUUGCAAAACACACAUCAAGGAGUGUGAACCUGAUGAAGAUACUUGCAAAACUCAAUUACUGCCUGGCGGUCCAAAAGCGGUCUUUAACAAGGCAUGUGUUGAAUCUAAGGAUUGUAAAAGAACACGGAUUGUAGGACUGCCUUUUUUUGGAACUGACUGCUGUCAUGAGGAUCUGUGCAAUCUAAAAAACAAAACAAGUCAAUUUGCAUUCAUUGGCACUAAAGGAAGGUUCCAGUCCGCUGAUGGCAAUCAAAGCUUGUAAAUUCCUGGCUUCAUUCCAUCAGGUGGCGUUACCAAUUUGCAGACUGCAAAGAAUUGGUGUUGCCAGCGACACAAGAUUCCCAACUACAUGGUCUCUUUCUUUAGUUACAUUCCUACUUCCAAAGUUACUUCCAAUUCUCAGCACUCCUGGGUCUCAUUCUUGGCACUUGGUGGAGGGGAAAGGAGUGAUUGAGGGAAGGUAGAAAAGGAGGUAAGGUAGGGGGUUCUGGAUAAAAAAUAUGGGGCAUAUGGGUUAAGUACUCACUGAAUCAUGAUCAAAGUAAAUGUGUGUCACAAAUAAAAAUCUGUGUUUAGCA